ensembl:lncRNA
CGCUGCUCUCCGUGCGCUCCGGAAGGCCCCGCACGGCCCCGGGGCUGCGCGCUGCGCCGCGGGUAUCCGAGCUAUGCGCGUCCCUUCACCUCCCAACGGCCGCCCUGGGAUAGGAGGCAGCGGGCGCUGCCCCGGUGCAGCUGUGAGCGUUCUAUUGGACGAGUGAGGAAGGUGACGCUAUUUGUCCUUCUGCCGCUUCAGAUCUGUGCUGGGAUGACGAGUGAAGCGCCUUUUGAGUUACAGGAGUUGCAUUCAGUUUCUUACAGCGUGGGGUUCUUGAAAUGAAACAGUUGCUGUUCUGAGCUCAGGCCCCGGGGCUGCAAAGCCGUUGGGAAGGUAGCUGUGCUAUUAAGUUCUGACUCUGUGUAGCACCUGGACUUGCAAAGCCCGGGGCUCUCCUGCUUCUUGUGCACGUAUCUCUAGCAACAAAGCACUGCGUGUUGGGAGCCUUCCUUGAAGAAUGCAACUCCUAGCGCUCUCGCAUUAGCAGCCUUUUAAUUCUCUUUCUCCUGUAGCAUAGCGGGUCAUUCACCUUUUGGUCUUAGUCUCUUUCUUUGGUGUGCCCCUCUGCUGCAUGUUUGAGAAUAAUUCCGUUUGGGGGAGAACGAAGCUCUGCUGAUCUAUCAGAUGAAGAUGCGAGGAAGGGAUGCUGGAAGACUUUGAGUACAGUAAAGACUGAAGAUGUGAUUGUCGUUAACUUCUGCCGUGUGCAGUACGUUAGCAGAAAUAUCAGCGCGUCAGCUUCAGUUACGAAUCCCAUCAGAAGUGCUGGAAAUUUAUUUACAUCCAGAAACAAUGCGUGGCUUCACUUUUAGUUUUGUCUGUGCAACCCCCCGUUCAAGGACUGGAGCAUCACAGGGCUCCCGCUUUGUUUUUCAAUUAGAAGUCCCUCAGCUCCUAGUGGAAAUUCUCAUUUUGUUCUUGCACUUAUCGCUAAUACAUUUUCAUGUGCUCCUGGUAUUUUGGGCUCAGGGUCACCCGAGUCAGGGCCAUCCUCCUUGAGCUUCUGCAUUGGCAGUGUUUCCUAACUUUGGCAGUGGUAAAUGACACUACUUAAAUAUUUGUAGUGAAAAUGAACGUAAUCCUGAACCUGGGGUAUCAAUAAUAAAAGCAGCCAGUAAUUAUUAAUGAUAAAAACAGACAGUAAUUGUGUGGCUGUUGGUGACAGCAACUCUGGAAACAAAGUAGUUCUAUUUUUUCCUCUUUCUCCUGUCAAGUAAAAGUGCUGGGUGGGGUGAAGAAAAGGUAAACGUGUCAUAUUAGUCAUUCUAACAUCUUUCCUUCAGCAUUCCUCGUGAAGCACUGCAGGGUGCUGCUCGGACUGCCUGGGCUGCUGACCCGACAAACAGCACUCCCCUUGGAGGAGCAGAGGAGCACGGCGUUCUUUCCCACUCGGGUGUUCCUGAAUUCAUAACUGUUUAAAAUCUGUUCUACUGAACUUGAAAUCCCGUCAGUUCUCCUUCAGGCUCCAUCUUCCCCAUAACCCUUAUAGAUAUUUUGAGUCUCCUGCUCAAAUUUUCCAUUGGUGUUGAUCUGUUGCUCCCUUUUGAGUGUUUGUGGCAUUUCUUCUACCUGGGUUUGUACUUCCCAGCUGUCAACAGAGCUGAAUUGCCCUACUGCUCUGUCUGUUAAGUUGUAGGGAUGGAGAAGCUUCUGAUCUCUCUCUUCUUAAUGUGGUCUUACUGUUCCUUUGCUGUCUCCUUUCUGGUGAUUAAUCUCGCUAUUUCAGUCUUUGGAGCACCUUUCUGAGGGCUCAGUUGUUCUCAGAACCCGGAGGAUUGCAGCCUCUGGUGUUAAAAUGCCUCUUUCGGAAUGGCACAACCAGUUCUACCCGUGACAAUGAAACGAGGCUCAGCACUUAUUAGGUACGUAAUAGAAAUAAUAACGGAGGCAGCCAUGCAGUUUGUUGUGCGGCCAACACCAUGCAGUGGUGUGCUGAGUAGAGAUAUUUACUGAGUUUCCUGCAAUAUAUUCCCAGGUCUCUCCUGUGGCUUCACUAAGCUAAUUGGGAACCUGGCCAGUAAUUCACUACUAUUAAUAUGCAUAAACUUACCAACUUCACAUUUAGCGUGCCAUGUACAUAAAAACUGCAUGACUCUGCUCAGAAUUAUUUGCCCACGCUGGGCUCGGGUGGUGUUGUGUCUGGAAGCACUGGUUUAAUGUAGCGUUUUUACAUCUAUGAAAGUCACAUUUGUUUUCCUAACGUACGUAGUGAAAGGACUUCAUUGACUUAAAGGUACUUUGGAAUGGGUACAUUGAGAGAAAAUAAUCUUCAGGAGGAGGAUCUUUCACUGUUACAGCAGAGGUGCCAGGGCUCAGGAUUCAAAGCGUGGCUUUAAAUUCCAGUGGGUUGUUAAAUGAGGUUUUUCUGCUGACGGAGAUUUGCAUAGCUGUAUUGCAGUGCGGAUUUCUUGCAUCUUAUUUUACCCCUGGGACCUUGUGGCAGAAGCCAGGAAAUGAUGUUGUUACAGCAGUGCGUCCCAGCCCUAUUGCCUCUGCUGUGGCAUGCAGCUGCUGUACCUGCACGAGGCGGAGGUGGUGUGGAUAACUCAGCUCGGCAAGAAACACAUCACGUUCCCUUUCUGCCACUUUCUUCUCAUCUUUCCUUUGGCCUGUGUAACCAACUGGAUUCCUUUGGCCUUGUUUUUAAGAUCACGUAAAAACUUUUGGAUUACUGGAAGCAUCCCAGUGUAAAGGUAUGCCUUUGUUGUCCAAAAUGUAAGAUGUCUAAGGUCAGCGUUGUUUGUUUUUCAAUAAUUAUAAUACCAAAAGGUCAGGGCUGUCCGGCAGUACUGGUGAUGGUUGCAUCAGUGCAGGGUUUCAGUUGCCUGACCUGCUCCAGUGCCACGAGCAGCUUUUCCUACUUAAAUAUUUUCUGUAUCCUUAAUAAAUGGUUAUAAAUGAAGAAAAAAAGUUAAAAGUCAAUUAUUGUUUUCACUCAAACAGCAUCCGUCUUCUUUAUUUCUUCAAACAGUAGAUGGAUUUAUAAGGAAACCAUCCACUGUCCACUGGCAGUCUCUUAAAUGAUACCGAAGACUUAAAUUAUUGUCUUGUAUGGGGGGGAAGAAGCAGUCGAAUUGUUCUGGAGUUUUAAAGCAAAGUGAGUGAAAUACAUAUAAAAACACAGAGAACAGCAACAAGGACAGAAAUAUAGCGUUUGUUUCUGAGGUGUUUUUGUGCAUUUUAUGGCUCGGGUUGUCAGUAUCAGGUAGUGUUGGCCCUUCUGGAAGCAGGCGAGCCCCACGUGUGGUUCUGGCUGCUUUAUGGCAGGAGCAGUGGUAGUGCAGCCACAUCCCUUUGGUUAUACUUCAGCAGCUGGGAAGAUAAAUGAGUCCUGUGUAAAUAUAGAUCAACUGCAGGGUGAUAAUUUUAGUUUAAUGUUUACACAUGUUUUUAAUGUUCCCCUUAUUGUGAUGUGUUUUCAGCAGAGCUGGAAGACGUUGCAAAUACAACGUUGAGGUGUUGUUUCUAAAUGGAUUUAAUUAGAUGUGGUGUGAUUAGUGCAGCUGAUGUCAGCAUGUUUCAGAGAAGGGAGGGUUCUUUAUUAAGGUUGGCUUCCCGUGUAUUCUCUUAAUUUGAAGUUGUGGGACUAUAUUUUAUAUUUUUGAAUACAUCUGUCACAUCUUUUGUGGUGACAGCAUGUCGUACCGCACUGUGCUCCCAUCUUUCUGUACCUGCACUAAUGUCCUGUCAACAGUGCUGCGCUGAGGCUUCUGUUCCGAAGUGCACUGAGCUCCUACCUGCCUCAGGUGCCUCUCGCUCAGCCUCCCACCUCUGCAGUCCAUGGAAACUUCCCUCCUGUUAACGUUGUGGCCAGGUUGCAAUGAACCUUAUGUCUGUUCUCAGGGCUAGAGGAAGAAUGCAAGGCAAUCCUUUCUGCCUCUGUGCAGCAAGAAGGUGUUUUUGCAAGCUGGAAGGGAAGGGGCUGUAAUGCAGUAGGAAGCGCUGAUCACUUUAGAGAAAGCGAGGGAAGGUCUGGCCGCAGAUCUCCACUUACAGGAGAGCUUUGAAGCGGCAGUUUUACCUCUGUGCUCACGACAGUGGUAGUGUGCUGCCAAAGUAUGGUCUGUUAGAUGCUGAAGCACUGUCUGUGUAUGCCUUUGAUGUGGUUGUUCACAUCCAGUGUUCCCCAUACUGGAUGUGCAGCUCUUCGGUGUUAUCUGGGUUAGUCUGUUCCUUCUUGAGUAGCCCAACCCUACAGCUGUGACAAACAAGGGAAGCUGCCUUUGCUGUGCUAACUCAGUUUGUGACUGCCUGAUUGUAUAUCUACUUCUGUCGACUCAGAGAUGAGCUUAAUUCUUUCCUUUUAUACCCCCUUUCCAGUUCUGUCCUCUACCUUUACAUGUUGUUUAUGCUGUGCUUUUCCUUUUCAAACCUCAUUUAUUAAUUAUUUAGAAGAAUCCUGUGAGUGUGUGGUGCACUCACAUGGUGUCUUUUUGGCCUUUCCAUAACAUGGCUGUGCUUGCUGGUGGCAAAUGACUGAGCAUUGGUAACUGCUAAGCACUGUGUGGGUUCUCCAGCACAAGAAAGACAUGGAACUCUCGGAGCAGGUCCAGAAGAGAGCCACUAAUGUGAUCAGAGGGCUGGAGUACCUCUCCUAUGAGAAAAGGUUGAGGGAACUGGGCUUGUUUAGAUUAGAGAAGGCUCUGGGGUGACCUCAUUGUGGCCUUCCAAUACAACUGUUUAUGAGAGUGGAUAGUGACAGGACAAGGGGGAAUGGUUUUAAACUGAGACAGGGGAGGUUUAGGUUGGAUAUUAGGAAGAAGUUUUUCACACAGAGGGUGGUGACACACUGGAACAGGUUGCCCAAGGAGGCUGUGGAUGCCCCAUCCCUGGAGGCAUUCAAGGCCAGGCCGGAUGUGGCUCUGGGCAGCCUGGUCUGGUGGUUGGCAACCCUGCACAUAGCAGGGGGUUGGAACUGGAUGAUCAUUGUGGUCCUUUUAAACCCAGGCCAUUUUAGGGUUCUAUGAGCAGUAUCAGGGUCUCUGCUGGCAACCAGCAAUAUGUUAAUUCUGUGUGAAGUGCUGGCUGCCCACAUCUCUUAUUGGUUCCUCAGGAGAUGGUGGAGAUAGGCCUCUGCACAGAUAUAUUGAUAUCUGUGGUUCUGCAAUGCACUUGCAAUGCACUUGACAUGAAAAAUGUUUAUCCAGUUGAGAGCAACAAGGUGCUUCAUGUUCUUACAGUUAAGGCACUUCAGUAUAAGCUCGCCAACUAGAUAUGCCUUCAGGGUGGUUGAUAGAAGAGGGCUAUUUUAUGUUUAAACCAGCAAAUAUGUGUAUUUUUAAAAAUUGAAGCAUCCUUUUAGAAGUAGUUAUGGGCCCCAGAUGGCUGCUCUUAAGGUGGAUCUUGUGUGUUUGGGGAGGAGACAGUGGGAAAGAUUUGUUCUGCAUUUAAGCCUGAAUUAGCAGGUUUGUUUUGUUGACUGUUAUUUAAAAGUUACUUUAUUAAAAAAUGUAUUUUUAUUAAUGCUUGUUGGUGUACUGUGAUGCUGUUAAACACAGUAACAAACAAAGAAAAAGUGGUGCUCUGCGUUGUAAACUUAACCAGGAGUUGAGGUCUGGUUUCUGUGUCUGCUUUCUGACCAAGGAGAUGAGCUGUAGUCGUUGCUUUGGCUGGCAUGCUUUGCUUCAUUAUCUGCACAGGACAGGACAGAGAAUCUUCCCUUUUCCAGUCAUACGUGACAUAAGAACUCAGCAGAAUGACCCUACUGGUGGCAUCCAUCCCGGUUCUUGGCUGAGCAUGGAGUUUCUUAUGGUUCAGAGCUUAGUGUUACAAGGGAAUAAAAUACUUCUCACUAAAUAAUAGUGAAAACACAGAAGGAGGCAUUUAGUUCAGGGCAUACAAGCUAUUGUCCUCCCCUUGCCCAGAAAGCAACAUAUAUUAAAUAGAAGAUGUCUUCCUUGCACUCUAGCUAGAUCAGUGUUAUUUCUUCCAAAAUACUGCUGCUUCUAAUCCUAGAGAUAAAAACAUAGCUCAGCGUCAGUAGAUAACUCCUCCUCUUGGGCUUUUCUGUCCUCGUCCAAUAGUUCUUAGCUUUGUUAGGAGAGGAAGGCUUUCGUUAUCCCCAGAAGCUUAAAUUGCUUUGCUGGCAAAUCUGGUUCAUUGAAGAACCCGAGGAUGAAGAGCAGAUAGGGAAGGAACAGCAAAUAAUUUCAGAUUACCUUCAUAGCCUCCUGUUGUUAGGAUGUCAGUGUCAUACACCACCUAUAUGGCAAACAUGUCUUACACUGAGAUAUUUCUUUUUUAUCUAACUGUUAGGAAAUGUAUUAAUUUUGCAUAGGAUUUUUUUAAUUGUUGGACUCAUCUUUUGAAAUAUAGCCAGGAUGUUGAGAGGUUGAAUUCUCAGCAUCCACUUGAGAAGGAUGAGUAUUAAAGGAUCACACUUUUUUUUUUUAUCCAGUUCUGUAGAAAAUAGUGCCCUUUUCCACUUUUUAAUAUGGCACUGCUGUGCUUUGAAUGCUGUUACCUCACACCAGAGAGCUGCUAAGAAUGCUAGAUUAAGCAGUACUCUCCGUAACUGUGGGCUCUGAUUUAACACUGUUCACACUCCUUUUGAUGAGCGUGGAGUGGAUUCAGUUACUGUAAACAUGGGUUUUCCAAGAUGGUCUAUAGGAGUAGAAAGAAGGUUAAUGAACCAGUUGUGGAGGGGAAGGGGCGGGGGGGUGGGGUGAGAAAGCUUCUCUAAUUGACAAAAGGUCUGUAGGGAGUCAGCUAGACUGCACGCAGUUGAGGCAAGCAGGCUGUGGUCUGUGAUCUUGGAUGGUGGUUAGUUACUGAUGACUGUAUUAGGCAUUCUGAUGUCUGAAAGACAGCUGCAGUGUGCUUAGCUCUUAGCAGAGGGUUUUUUUUUUUCCUUCUGCAGCAGUCAGACUUUCAGGGUACCAGGAACGAAGGGAAGCACUUAUUCACAAACUGUGUCAGCUUGCAAACUUUCUGUACAGUUCUUCCCUUUUCUCCACGAUGUGGGAACAAGAAGUGACUGAUGUCCCUUGGAGUUCGGGUGCUUGCCCCAGCUCCGGAGGACGGCACAGAUCCAUCACUACACCCUGGCAGUGCUGUUUUGACCUUAGGGCAACUCCUGUGCCAGAGGCUCUGCUGCUGAGCUCCUGGACUGGCUGCGGCCGGAGCACGUUUUGUCAGAAGGGUCCCACGUUCUCAGUGGGAACAGAAGACGGAGGGUGGAUAAUGAGCAGAGCUGGAAGGUGAGAGUUGUUCUGUAGUUCAGCUCUCCCUUGGCCAAAUUCCUGCUCCUUCUUGAUGUGCCUGGUUCUUAUGUAGAGUCAGUCCUCAAUUUCCUUUCAAUUAGAGCUCCAUCCUACUUUUCUGUCCCUUGCAGUUUGUGGAGUUUUAUCGUCUCUCAAUUCUAUUUCAGCUGCGUUUUUUUUCCCUUUGCUUUCAUGACUCAGGACUUUUUUCCUCUUUUCCUCAUGCUAUGUCAUUUCUUCUGGCUGGAGCAGUGUCCUCCUUUUCUGAAAGGAAACAUCACUCCUGCAGGAGGAUUAAAGGAGAGUUUUAAAUAAAUUCCCAGGGAGUCUCAACCCUUUGCAGAAACUGGAAGAAAGUGGCAGUGAGUUUCAAUUAUUUGAGCUUUAUUUCUGCACAGUAUAAUGUAAUUCAUAAUGUUAUCAAUAUCUGUAAAAGCAGAAGAGGCAGCUGCAGGAGUUACGAGAAAAAACCAACUUAAUGAAAUCAAAAGCACAAUUUAACUUCAUAACACGUAGAAGGGGAGGAAGGGCCGGAGUGAGCAACACGAAUCAGAAUCACAAAUCAGAGCUAUUCUGGGAGAAAACAACUUUGGAAAGACUCAAAAGUGAAGCCAGAAGAUGGAGGAGGUCCCCCAAAGCAGCAAAAGGGAAGCUCGUCGAAGCCAGUUCUGGGUGGGUUGGGAGCUGAAGAGGUAGGGAAUGUUAAGGAAUUCUGAUUUAUAUUGUGUGAAGAAAGGGGAAAAAAAAUAAUCACAAACUUUCCUCUGGGUAAAGGGGAUCAGAGGAGCACAGUCAGUUGGACUAUAUUAAGGAGACAGUGUUUAAAAAAUAAACAAACAGCCCUGCGGCUUUCUCAUCAAACCUCCUCUGCCUUCAGAUAACAGAAGUCCAAACUAUAAAUCUUAAAAAAAUCUCCUUCGGUCAAAAUGUGGACAAAAUAAAGCCCAGGUUCUCCUUUAGAGUUAGUAAAUGUGUCAGAGGUGAGAUGGCAGCGCCUCUUCUCCUUUAAUGGAACGUGAUUAAAACCGUGGGGCUUCAUUUCCAUACCACUUGGAAAGCAAAUAAUGACAUAGAGAACGGCAUCCAUAAGGUGCUGCGUGCUCCAUUCUUAGCACUGUGUUUCCUACCAGCUCCAGCUGCUAUUAGCAGGAUCAAGAUCUGGGUGACUUCUGUUUCCCCAGAAGGGAAAUGCUUCUGCUGCCAGUGGAGAGCAUCAGCCUGUGGCAUGAGCACAGUGCCUGGCAGGCUGAGAAUGGUCUGCUUGAAGUAAAAGCAGAACUGCGUGAGAUUUUUGGACAUCAAUGAGAUAAUGACAAUUACAGCCAGGAAUUACACAGCAUUUGUUUCUUUUGUCACAGGGAUGACUCCAUUGUUUGCCCCGAAAACUGUUUUCAGGUUAUUAGAAUCUGUGUAACUUCGAGCAUGUUGCUUUUUGAGUUUAUUUCGUUGACUGAAAUGAUAAUUUGCAUCAGUUCUCGUGUGUGGGAAUCACUGCUUCAUUGCAUAAUAAAACUGUUUCCUUAAACAUUCUGCCUAAGGACUGUGCAGCGUUAUGGGUUGUUACAGCUGAAAUAAGGAGCGCUGCUUCUGGUUUAAAAAGACUCGAGAUGUGAUGAAGUGAACGCAUCUUUCCUUGCAGCUGGUGAGACAAAGGCUGCUGCUUUGUGUUCCCGGUUGGCUGAAACCACAGAUGAAACUGGAUUUGUGAUUGGAUCGGUAUUUCAGGUUAUUCCUGAUUCAGAUUUACUUGGACCUAGCAGUAACUCCUUAUUUUCUUUUGCUAGUGAAAUAUUAGGCACUUAAGACUAAUGCAUGUUACUAAUAUUAGGGCAUUCGAGACCUUUCUUCCAUGUCAGAUAAGCAGAUCCUUGGUUUGUCUUUCCAAAGCCCAGGUGUUUAAUUUGGCUGUUGUAUUGCCGCAGUGCCACCUCAGUGGGCUGAUUCAUUCAUGUUUCGGUUCCUUCCCAGUGCUCUUCCACAGAAGCAGUGGAAUUGGGGGUCGCUGUCUCAGGGCUGGGAAGCAGAGAACGCAGUCUGAACGCGCCCUGAGAGGCCCCAGUGUGUGCAGGUCUGUGUUCCCGGCCCCACAGACCCCUGGUGUAAUUCCCAGCUGAUGGGAUACCACCUGGUAAUGGCAACUGCUCCUGCGUGGUUCUGCUAGCCGUAAUAAGGUGCACAUUGUAUACGAUAAAAACAGCUCAGCUUUAUUACCUGGCUUGCAUGCCUGGUAAUGAAUAGAAGGAAGGCUCUCUCCCUCACGAACAGCAAAAUUUAAUAUAGUCUCUUCCUGGAGUUGCACCGGUGGGACUAAAAGUUUAUCUCAGCAUUCCAAGGGCAAUAAAAAUCUAAAUUUAAACUCGGAAUGUCUUACUGGGGCAAGAGUGCCCAGAGGCUGUGUACUCUUCCAACUUUGUUUAGGUCAUAACUGCUUAUGUAAAGUUAGUUUAUACCAGCUAGUUAGGUUUUAUGUCUUUGAGCACUGUCUUCAUUACGAAGGAGAGACGUAUCAAGUGCAGGGGGUGCAUAUGAAAGUUCAGCUCUGCUUUACUAUUGCAUUUAAUUUAGUUUCUUACUGCUUAGUGCUUGGCUACGUGAAGAAAUCCCUAGCUCUUAACCUUCACGUUACAGAUGCCUUUAAAGUCUAUUCUGAUUCAUUCCUGUAGUUAGACACCUCGGAUAUUUGGAGUUUAUGGUUAAUAUGAAGGAGCAGUGGAAAAAGAUACCUGGUGAAGGCUGCCAUGAGCAGGGAAUCUCCUGUUAGCUGUGGUUGCAGGUUGGAAAGACUGACUACAGAAAGUAAGCAGAUGCCAGCUAGUGGGCUCUCGGAGCUUCACUGGCUCAGCGGUGGCUUGUUCUCUUGGCCCAUAGUUUUAAAGGUGGGAAGCAGAGAGACUCAAAUGCUGUUUCUGCAGCAUGAUUACGAGCAAGACAGGAUGAGAAAAUCAACUGGAGGUUUUCCUGAGGUCGUAUCUGGUAACCAGGGCAUUCAACAAGCGCUGUGUGAGAUUGUGAGUCACUGCUGCCGAUGUUCUAAGAUCCUCAUGAGCUGUUUUCAGUUUGGAAAGUGAGAGCAUAUUGGCGUUAGCCACCACAAAGAGGAGAUGGAUGUGUGGAGGGGGCAGUUCUGGUGACAGAACUUGAGAGGAAGGAGCGUUCUCACUUAGUGCUGCUUAGCAGCCAUUUCCAUCUCUGCACGUGCUUCCACAGAGCAGGCAGGGAGGAAGUGAAGAGAGCAGGUUUAAAGUUCUCACAGUUUCUAGGUGACUGUGCAGUCAUAAAGGGUGUUCAUGUACCUCAUAGAAUCAUAAUCAUCAAGUCCAACCGCAGCCUAACCAUAGUACCCUAACUCUGACAACCCUCUGCUAAAUCAUAUCUCUGAGCACCACAUCCAAACGGCUCUUAAACACAUCCAGGGAUGGUGACUCAACCACCUCCCUGGGGAGCCUAUUCCGGUGCUUAACCACCCUUUCUGUAAAGAAGUGUUUCCUAACGUCCAACCUAAACUUACCUUGGUGCAACUUCAGCAGGUCUGUUUGCUCUGCUCAUUCUUUGAGGUAGUUGUGCUACAGAGAGCAUGCUCCGUAUCUUUUAGAUACUUGAUGUGAUGACAGGUAAGGAAUUAAGUGAAUCAGACUGAAUUUACAUAGGUAUACCUCUUGUUCUUCAGUAAAGGUGAGAAAAUAAUGUUUUUCUGUGUUGGAAAACUGAUGUGCGUGUGAUCUCCAAAACUGGCAGUCCUUGGAACUGUGCAUUGGUGAAAAUAAGAGAAAAUAGUUGAAGAUAAAUCCUUGCUUUUUAUGGAUAUCAGGACAUAUUUCCAAAUCACCUUAUAGAAAUCACCUGAAAAUGUUCUGACUUCUUAUUUCUUCUGUCCUCACAGCCACUCCCAUUUUUCCAUCAGCCGCUGCUUUAUGUAUAUUUGUCAGUUCUCUCUGCCUUCCCUGGUCUGCUUGGAUUUCCUUUCAUCUCUUGAUAUCUGCUUCACUACAACUACUGCACCCUUCUAAUUUCCAGCGCUUCUGGCAUUCGCUGACGUUCAGCCAUUAGCACUGCUAGUUCUUGUUCAGUCUUGUAAUAGCAUUUUAAUGCUAUUACAGCCCUUUGUGCACUGAAAUCCCCACUGGUCGGAUUUCUUUUGGUGGGCCGAUACGUGGGAUUUCCUCUGAGGUCUGUUGGUGCCCAGGCUUCCAACCAACAGAGCCACAGCUGACUUAGUGUGCUCAGUGUGCUUAGAAAUUGCCACCUACUCCAUCUUCUCCUUGGGUCUCCUGCUCAGCACCUCCAUUCACACACACUGUACUCAGAGUUCUGCUGUUAAUUUUAUUACAACAUUUUCCCAACAUUGCUCAUCUUCACCAUUCUGCCGGUGCUGCUUUCGGCAAUGAGCAAACAUUGGUUAUUCAUACGUUCCAUUUUGCAAGUCAACUUAUUACCCAGUAGACCUGUUAUGGUCACUAUGGCCACGUUAGAGCCUUCCAAACAAAAUGUUGCUGUGUUGGAUUGGACAAAUAUCUAGAAGUUUCUGAUCCUUCCCAAAUAUAUUUAGAUUUCUAUGACAAAAAAGAUUUUGUUUCUCUCAUUACAUGCAUUAUUUUUACUAACCCUAAUUCUGUAAGAGCAAUACAAACUACGUAUUUUUUUACUAAAACGGAACAUGAGUUACAGCCUUUGAGCUGCUCUGGAAUAUAGGUGCUUCCUUUAAACUCUCAAAUGAUGUUACUUCUGGGAGCAAGAACCUUAUUUCUUCUCUGUGACACUUUGUUGUUCAGCUGCCUUGAAAGAGCCGUAUAAGGUGCUGAUUGUUUCUGAUGGUGAUAGCAGUUGCUGCGGAGAAAUACAUGGCUGUGGUUUGAAGAUGAAUAUAUGGCAUAAAUUAUAGCACGAGUAACUUUCCUGUGAUGUGUUAGGCUUCUCCCAUUUGUUUCACAAAGGCACAUAAACAAUUCUAUACUGCUAUUUUAAGUUGGCAUUACAACCGAGUACUCAUCUUUUCUUACUUGCAUGGCUUGCAAUUACAUUUUGAAUUUCUUCAUAAAUAUGAUGUAGUCUUUAUACUGAGUGUUCUUCUCCAUCACUUCAGUGAUUUAUUGUUACUCACGGGACAGUUGUGCUAUAGCAGCUCCUUAUGUUUGCGAACUUACUACAAAAGUACAAGCAUUUAGAAUUGUGCAGAUGUAGCUGUGUGCCCAAGGCUGCCUGCUUAAACAUCCUGCUGACCACAUGCAUGUUUUGCAUGAUUUGAUCCUACCCAUUGACUGUAUGCAGACGUGGUGCAGUGUAGGAGGCUACAAACAUGGACCUCAGAAAAGGUAUAGAGAAAACAAAGUUAAUUAUUGCUUGCCAUUGAACACCGUAGAAGUACCAGCAGAGGAAAAAUAAUCGGCUUCAAUAUGUUUAUCCUUAAAAAAGAAAAAUAGUCUUAUAAUGAUUAACUUUUGACAUGUAAGUCCUUUGUAGGUCAUUAGUGGUGUAGCUGUGCGUAUAUGUGCCUGCUUCAGAGAACAGUUUGGUCCAUAAUCUCAUAAUGUUGAAUUCUACCUGGCAGUUUUAUUCGAGCUUAAUUUCUUUUUCUUCUAAUGAUGUUAGCUGGAGAGUUAUGAGACAGGCAUCAGCUGAAAGCACCAGGGAAGGACAGGUAUUGGCAGUGGCAUAAAAGCAGAAGGGGAGGAAAAAGAAUAGCUAUUGUAGCAUUUAUCAGUAUUCUGCUAAUAGUCUGCUCAGACACAACUCUGGAAUAAAACAGACGUUCAUACUGCAAUUUCUUUCAAAGGUUGGAGCUAUUCAUCUGCAGGGUUACAAGACAAAAGUCUAAACCUUCCAGACAUUAUAGUAUAGCUGUUUUAUUGAAUUGUGUUAAGAAGGAGAAACCUUAGAAGCUGUUCCCUUAAGUGUAAAUAUUCUACAUUGCCUUUGGAGGGCAUGUGAAUGUGGGCAACUGACUUUCCUAGAAUGCACUUCUUCAGGUAGUUGAUGCCUUUACACGUGAAAAGAAAACGAUCUGUAGCCCAGUAUUGGAGGCAAGUAAGGGAGAGAGAGGCAAGAGGCUUUUCAUGUUGGCCUCGAUUGACCAUCCAGUGAAGUGUAAGAAGGGCUCUUGUUGGUUUCUGUAGGUUCUUUGUCGUCAUUUCAGCAAAGGAGCACUGUGUGCAGCCAGGUGGAGAGCGAGGGAUCCAAGUGCCAUGUUCCCUAAUGGGGGGAUGGCUCCAGGCCUUGCUGCAUGGAGAGCUGUACUGGCAAACCUGUGAACUCCAACUUAAGGGGGGGGAAAUGGAAAGCAACAAAAAAGUGGGUAAGGCUCUUGUUGGUUUGGCAUUAGCAGAUCUGUGGUCUAUUGCUUCUUUUGUAUGGGAGGCAUUAAAUUAGAAACUUAGUCAACGUUUUCUUUCAAGCUGGUAUGCUUCAGAUUUUGUCCAUGGUGUUCAUAAAAGAGCUUUCUCCUUUUGUGCAAAGUAAUUGUUAAGCAGGGAGGUAGAACUUCAGUGAACAACAGAGUCUGUGAAAGACAGCAUUUUAUAAUGUCCAAAAAUACACCUCAAAAUGGGUUAUAUUUACCCAGCAAUUUCCUUAAGAGAAAGCAAGAAUUCAUUAGAAAAUGAAAUGCUUUUCACAUACUUAAAUUCUCCAUUUUGAUGUUACUGAAGUCAGUCAGGCUGUUUCAACUUCUACGGUACGUUGGGAGGAUUACAAAUGAAGAGAACCGACAUUUGGAAUUGAGAAAAUGAGCCAUGAUUUUCAAUUCUGGUUGAGAAAAUGAAUUAAAGUAUGUAUAUACUUAUACUGAAAAACUGUAUUUUCAUCCAAUCACUUAAAUCAAUGUAUUUGCUCUUUUGAGAAAUCCUGUUUUCUGAAAUUAAACUGUCACUGAACUUUCAGUUGGGACUUUUUAUUGUUGUAAGUGCAGAACAGAGGCAGUUAACUGGGAUCAUUGAUAGGAACCCAUUCGGUCUAAAGAUUAGAGCACUGAGGUGGGUUCAGAUUACAUUAGAAAGCACUUGUCAUAUUCAAUACUAUUGCCAGUGAAAAUAUGAUGGGAAAAAUAGGGAAUACCAUAUCAGUAUUCUCAGUUGUAAGCUCUAGGUAUUAUUAUUUUAUGGAUUUUGCAUCAUUCAUUCUUCCAUAGUCAGCCAUGUAUGCUUAGAUUUAUGCAAGCCCAGUGAGAACACUUUAGGAAAAUACUAACUUCCAGUGGAGUGGUUUAUCAUGGUUAAAGUUAACAGUAAUAAUUCCAUUGCAUUUUUAAAGGCAAGCAUCAUUUGGAAAUAUAUGGUAACUAUAAUAACUACGCUGAUGUCUUUUGCUGGGUUUUGUUGUUCUCACUGGCUGGUCCUUGAAGGGAAAUAUUUUGUGUGCACGUUUCUGUUGUCUGCUUUGUGUCAGAAAAUGCAUGUAAAAUGCUACCAAGUCUGACACCUACUUUGUCUCCGGUGUUUUCCUUGUGUAAAAGAGUACCCAGCUGCAUGGAAAUAGGAGGAAUGUCUGCUGCUUCAAACAAAUUUCCAGCCUUCUGGAGGUUAUUCUCAGCUGAAGUCAAUGGAAAGGAGUAAGUAGGCUUGUUUUGUGUCAGAUAAACAGGUACGAGAAGGCCUGAGAAAUGAACUUAGCACUCCAUUUUGGUGAAAAUUUCUGGCAAGUAAAAUGUGUAGAUGAAAUGAGAUUUGUUUCCUCCCAACCAUUUGUAAGAGAUUUUGCCACGUUCCUUUUUCACCCAGUUUUAUGGAUGACAUUGAGGUGUGGUUUCCACUGUCUUGAAGUCUGAAGAACAAAUUUUUCUCUCUUUGAAAGCUGCUGCAAAAGGAGAAACUCUUCUAAUUAUGAACAAAGACUGUAACAUUUAUCAUUAAAAAGCUAAAACAGAGACUCAUUUACAAGAGAAUAAGCUUUGUCAAGUGCACUUUUGUAUUGGAAUAUGUUGAAAAAAAUCUCUCGCUGAAGAUUUUUAAAGACAGAAGCAUAGGAAGAUAAUUUCAUUCUUUGACAUGUUUUACCUUUGCAAAGUUACUGGGCUGCUGACAGGUACAACAAGACGUGCUACGCUUACAUGCUAUUAGUGCAGUAGGCUUUGAAAAAUGUCUAAUGCAUUGGCAUAUCUGACAAUUUAGGGUAUUAGUUAACAGUGAGACUCUGUAAAUAGAGUGAAUUUUAGCUGCAACUGCUGACUUGAGCGUUCAGUCAACAUCUGCAAUACAGGGCUGAACUAUAUGCAACAAAUAAUGCCAUUUUAUGCUGUGGAGAUGGAAGCUGGCAUUAUAUGCCGUGUAUGGCUCAGUCUGAGAGUGGUGGUAAUUGCAAUAUAUUGAAGUUUUGCAUUGUAAUAAAAAUAGAGACCAUUAGUGGAUACCAUUUAUGUCAUUAGUAUUUAGUGGCUGUGUGUUGCAGCUUUUUUAGUGCUCAUAAAACUGUCUCUGCUUGCAGAUAUGUGACAGCACUGAUAUAAAUUUAAAUGUUUGGAAAUCCAUAAGACAUAAAAUAUAGAUAGUAAAUAGGGGCAUAACACUAUAGACAAAAACUUAAUGAUUUGGCACACAAAUGUUUAUAUAUUUGCAUGUCUAAUGCAGCGAUUAGCAUAAUGGUGAUCACAUUUGUACCAUGGAAGACCUUGAUUAGCAGACAACAACAACAAAUAAGGUAAAACUUAAGCACGUUGUACAAAAGCAGUAGAGAAUUCUUUCAGGUUGCAAAUCAGAGCUUUAAUGUUGGAAGGUGCAUCCUCUACAUAUGUUUGGUGGGACACUGGUUUUCCUUCUUACAGGCUUUAUUAGUAACGACACCUGUUCCACUAGCUAGUAGUAUUACAGUUGUUCCUAAGAAGUGAUUAUAAAAAAUAGAAAAUGUGAAAGGGAAUGAAGCAGUUAAGGAACACUGGGAUUGAGAUUGGAUGGUGCUUCUUUAAGACCAACGGAGCCAGCCAGCAUGGGGAAGAUUAACCAAUGUUCAGACCAGAGCACCAACACCUUGUCAGGAACUUGGCUGGCAGCAGAGCUGGCUGAGGAAAGACAUCUUUGUAGUGUGGGGAUGGGACGAGUCCAGGAACACGGCCCGGGGGGUUGCACUGAGUGCUGUAUGCUAGCCAAACGUUACAGGCUGUAUUGUUUGGAAUUCCCAGUGUAAGAUUUUCAUUUAAGGAAUCCAAGAAAUUCAGAAGCCAGAUCUCCGUGCAGAAGUUCUCUGGGAAAGCCAUCCUCUCUCCUUGAUUUCAGGAGUGCCCGUUUUCAGUUGUUCUCAGUUGUUUGAGAGGUUCCCACCAUGGCUGAUUUGCCUCUAAAAGAGGAGUGCUUUGCUGUCUGUUUUUUCUCUCUGAAAGUGAUGGAUUUGAAGCAAGAGGUUCUGAGACUUUUCUUCUGUACACUCUGUCCAUGCCGUCUUCAGCUCUGACCUUUACAUCCCAGAAACUCACAGGAGGUUGGUCACAGAACUCUUGGGGGAUUUGGAACUCAAAUCGUGCCACACUAAAGAGAGAACACAGAACAAUAAAAAGAUCUUCAGUCAUUUGGAGCGAAGGACAGGAAGCGCCGUUAGAAAAAGCAUCUUUCCAAUUGCAUUUCCUUCCAGUGGAAGGUUUUAUCAACGUUUUUAGUUUGAUGUGUGUAUUAAUGCUUAACACUGAGCAUUAAGCAACAUCAGGUUCUGCUUCAGAAGAAAAAAAAAACCUUUGGAAAAUGUGAAUAUUUCCACUAAACAAUAAGAAGUCAGCAGGGUGGGGAAGAUGAUGGUAUAAAUGGUGGGUAUGAACAUGUGCAGAAAGCUUGGGGCUCACGUUAAUACAUGUUAAGGUUAGACAAUUGGGUGCUUUUCAGGAGCUCAAGUAGUAAGCAGAAGUGAGACAUAAGCCUUCUAUACAGUGAAUGUAAGUAUUUCAGUGUCUCUUACGGUCUAAUUAUGGGAAGUGUUACAGUGGAAGUCUUAUUGCUCCUUUACGAAAUAUGUUUUUGUCUGUUUAUCUGUCAAAACAGACUGAAGCGUAAAUCUCUACGACGUUUUCGGCCUUUGAAGCAUUCAGUGCAGCUAUUUAUAUUCACAUAGAUUCUGAAAUCUUUUUGAAACUUUGUGCUUCUGAUUGCAGAAUUCAGUGUCGCUUCUUAGCACGUUGAGUGCUGACGGCUUUGAACACACAGUGACAAUGUGGCUGUGAGCACCGCCCUGCUGAGAGACAUCUCUAAAGGAACAGUGAUUUUUAUGUUGAAGGUUUUGGUUGAUUUUCAGAAUUAGGGGAAACAUUGAAGUGCAUAAAAAAUGUUUAAUUCUCCUGUACACCACUAAAUUGCUUGUUGCUUUAUAUAUCCAGCAGAUACAUGAGAGCAGAGACCACUUUCUGAAGCCAUUCUGUGCAAAAGUUUGUACUAGAACUACUAGGGGAUGGAAAUCAUAAUACAGCUGAAGAGGAAGGAAUGGACUUGGACCAGGUCAGGAGGAGAGCACAGCAGAUAUACCUGGCUCUGGAUUCUGGUGAGUCCUUCAAGAAUGUGCAAUCAAAGCCCUUGUGUAAAUCCUACAUAAGUGAGGGUCUGAGGGAGCAGGGAGUAAAUGCUUCCCAAUGAACCUGGACAAAGAUUUCCCAGUCGCUCCUCUGAUUUUCUCGAAGAGUUGGCAACAAAACCAUUGGUCUCCUUCCUACAAGAAAGAAAGAAAGGAGUAAAAACCCUCAGGUAGGACUUGGAAGAAGGCCCUGGCCUGCCCUCAUCUCGACACUGUUUGCACACUGCUCAGCUUACUCAUGACCAUUCUGUCAGCACGAUACUGAGGUGAAGUAGAGAAGAACACAGUAUUUGGUAAUCAAAAUGAAGGGAGAAACAAAAGAAGAGGCCAGCAAUGCAAGGCAGUUAUUAAGAGGUGUCUUUGCCACUCUUCAACAUCAGCCUGUUGUGAAUCAUGCAGAGAAGGAACAGAAUCCACCACAGCCUGAAUUGACUAAGAUAGGAAAGAACAAGAUGGAUAAUACAGAAAGUUUUGGAGAAGAAGCAUUCCUCCUCUGAAAGGGCAGCAGGCAGGAAGUUCCUAAAUGGAAAAGGAAAAUAUUGUUCUACUUGAACAUCACCCUGGCACUGUCAGAUGAUUCACAGGCCCUGGAGAACACAGACAUUACCAGCUCAGCACAUCUAUAUACCAAUCACCAUUUGUCAUAUGCGAGUACUUCCCACAGUCCUAAAAAAGGAUUGGUUUUGUGUAUUAUUUGCUGGAAAUGUAACAAACUUCAUACUGAACAGCAAAAUAAAAACAGUGCUUGAUUGUUUUAUUGACUGUUUGCCUAUUUACUUGGGAAAACUUCACUUCAGGAUUCUUUAUGCAAUCUAAUAAAAGGACCCCCACAGCUGUCUUCUUUUUGGAGAAAAGCUGUCAACAUCCAGUAUCAUUUUCUGCAUAUUGAGUGAAGUACUUGAAAGUCCCAGUUCCAUUUUAAUGUGUGAGAAGCUCUCCCAUUUGUAUGCAGCUGGAGAGAGUAGUUUUAUCCUCAUUUACAAAAGCCACAUGAUGGAUUUCUGGCUUUAAACAAAUACUACCUCAAACUUUUCUUUCUUCCCCCCCCCUCUCUCCCCCAGCAUACACCUUUCCUCUCUCAUUAGGCAUCAGUGUGCACAAAUCAGUGCACAGCAUUGACACCUCACUCGUUACACAAUAAACACCAGUGCCAUUUCUUUUUGAUCUCCCUGUACACGAUCUGCUAGAAUAACGAACAGUUAAUCUGGGAAUUAAUGGAACUCUUGCAGAACAGUGGGUGGGGAAACUUCCUGAUCCUGCAAACGCUUCGCCACAUAGGAAUAGUCCCACCGCAGCCAGAAGGCUAAUGUUGAGUAUUCUAUACUCAAUACUCUUUCCUACACGAUUACCACAUCUGUUUGUUUUCUCAGGUACUUCAGACCAAAGCGUGCCCUGGUACAAAGGCCUCAUAGGAGGACCCCAGGUAAAUCUGCCUACACUCGACCUGCACAUGCAGCUUGCCAUUCCAUCUAAUCUACAUGGAGGGACGUUAAUUAUAGGCUCACACAAGCACUACGUAGUUCUUGAUCUUAGUCAACUUUCCUCACAACUGAUUUCUGGUGGUUUAUUAGAGUUCUUGAAUAUUUAUUGUGCAUUUUGAGAGUUGUAAUUAUUUUUAUUUACCACAUAAAGAGCAAAUUUCAUCCUAAUUAAACACAUACCAGCGAUUAUUAAUCAAAAAUGCUGAUGGCUUUCUUUCAUGUAUGCAAAAGACAGAAGACCAUUCUGUGGAAAUAUAGCACCAUUCAUAGCACAGUUCAGUGUUAACUCUGAUGCAACAAAACAUCAUUUUUACAGGUAGCAGGGAGCAUCU